rnacentral:rRNA from 1 species
AGCGUAGGCGGACAUUUAAGUCAGGGGUGAAAUCCCGGGGCUCAACCUCGGAAUUGCCUUUGAUACUGGGUGUCUUGAGUAUGAGAGAGGUGUGUGGAACUCCGAGUGUAGAGGUGAAAUUCGUAGAUAUUCGGAAGAACACCAGUGGCGAAGGCGACACACUGGCUCAUUACUGACGCUGAGGCUACGAAAGCGGUGGGGGAGACAAACA